AGGGCGCCACCAGGAGUGGAGCCUGCGGCUUAAUUUGACUCAACACGGGAAAACUCACCCGGCCCGGACACUGGAAGGAUUGACAGAUUGAGAGCUCUUUCUUGAUUCAGUGGGUGGUGGUGCAUGGCCGUUCUUAGUUGGUGGAGUGAUUUGUCUGGUUAAUUCCGAUAACGAACGAGACUCUAGCCUAUUAAAUAGAUCGUUGGCUUACAAACGCCGGCGAGACUUCUUAGAGGGACAGGCGGCGAUUCAGCCGCACGAAACAGAGCAAUAACAGGUCUGUGAUGCCCUUAGAUGUCCGGGGCCGCACGCGCGCUACACUGAAGUGAUCAGCGUGCAUUUUGAAACCUACUCUGUCAAGAGUGGGGAACCCAAUGAACCUUCUUCGUGAUUGGGAUAGGGGAUUGUAAUUAUUCCCCUUGAACGAGGAAUUCCCAGUAAGCGCGAAUCAUAAGUUUGCGCUGAUUACGUCCCUGCCCUUUGUACACACCGCCCGUCGCUACUACCGAUUGAAUGUUU
rnacentral:rRNA from 1 species